rnacentral:lncRNA from 1 species
AAACAAGCCACUUAGCUUUGAAACUGAAUUUUAACAAUGUUCCAAAAGGAGAAAUAAGGUAUAGCAUCUCACUACAAAUCCUCCAUCUCAAAACAUGGGGCCUGGAGUGGCCCCCCAAGACCCUACCCCUAAAACAAACUGGCUGUGGAUAUGGUGACAGAUUAGAAAGUUAAACCCUUCACCUCCAUGAAAGAAUCUGGAAUGGAGCAAACCCAUCAUUUACCUAAGAAGGCAGAAGGUGAGACAGUCCCAUUGCUGCGUGACACCAUGACACUGAUGCCUGUCUCUAUGAAGGGCACAGAGAAGUCGACCACCUCCGAUCGUUCCUCAUUGAUGAUGGCUACAGAGGAGUUUGAUGACUUGCCCAAGCUCCCACGGUAAGUGACUUGAAGCUGAGCAGUCUGACUCCAGAGCUUGGACUCCUACCCACCACUCUGCACUGCUUCUCUGACAAUGAAGGAGUAAGACAUGUUCCUUUUCCUCCAAGGACAGUCUAGAGGGAAAAGACACUAUCCAUCGACAAUAAUAGGCUUUGGUAAUUACUCUAAUAUCCACUAUCCAUUGACAAGUUAGGCUUUGGUAAUUACUGUAAUAAAAGAUAUAAAUAAAGUACUCCGGCAUUCAGAGUAGAAGUGAUGUUUUCUAAAAGAAUCAGAAGAAAUCUCACAGAGACCCUCAUUUUGAGCUGUGGCUUGAAACGUAAAUGAUAGCUGAGGAGGUAAGAGUUAUUUAUCUGCCAAGGAAAGGGCAAGAGUGAGGGAACAGAGUGGUGCAGAGGCUAAAUGAAAAUGGCUUAUUUUUCACACCUGUAAGGUCUGAGGCAUGGGGAGCAAUUGUCUAGCACAGUUCUCUUCCUUACGGGCCUGCUCACUGUAGCCGGAUGAUCUCUGCCAAUCUUGAGAGCUGACUGGAUUGUGCUCAUCUCUUCCCAACUCCUUGUUCAAGGGUGUCAGGCUGGUAGCUUGAAACUGGCAUGGGCACCGUGAAGUUGGCAAACACUAUCAAUCAGGCUCCCUCUGUCCAGCCCUGGCCCCUGUUGUUAAACGUCAACCAGCUCACCACUGCCCAGAACCCAAUCAUUCAUCAUUUCAUGGUAUCUACCACCUUCUUUAAUGAUUUUUUAAAUGUUCCAAGUGAUUGUCUUAAUUAAAAUAAUUCUAAACAUGUCUCUGAGUAUUUCUGAGACUGUAAACACAUUUCUAAAACACUGUGAGCCUCAGUUUCUGCAUCUGUAAAAAUAGGUGUGUGGCAUUCUGAGGUGCCUUCCACAUAAUUUCAUGAUCAUAAUUUCUUUAGGACAGGGGCUUUCUACAUCCUACAAAUUAAAGCACGAUGAAGAGGUGCUUUUAGAGGUUACUUUUUGAAGGGGUGGCAGUAUCUGAUUUGUUUCUACAAAAUACGAGCUUGCCUUAAAGUCGUUAUUUUUUUUUUUCGUUUCUUCAAGGAAAUGAAAAAAAAAUAAGAGGGAAAGUUAAAUUCCUUGAGUACUGAAAGGUGAAACUUUUUUGAAAAAAAAAAUCUGAAUAUCAGAUUCCCAAUUCCAACAAACAGGGUUCAUGUUAAAGAACAUGUUUAGAUAGUCACUGCCAAUUCUUUAUGGAGCAAAGGCAGGUUACAAAUGAGUAAACAACUAAAAUUAACAAAAAAGGAAACAAAAAUUAUGUAGAAGAACAAGGUGUAUUUCAAGCAAUCUUUCUCUCAAGGGGGAGAAAGUAUGGUGAAAAAUAUAAAUGGAAAAGUUUGAAAGAGCAAUGAAAAAUAGUAAAUAGAGAAAGAGAAGCCGGAGACACCAAGCAAACAUCUUGAAAGUGCAUCCAGGAUGUCCGAAGUGGUGUGAGUCUACAAUCCUAGAAGUGCAGACAGCGGUAGAACAUGAGGCUAACAGGAGAUAUUUCAGAGACAAUGUAGCGAGAAGAACUGAAUGAAGAAUUUAUGCUUGAGAUUAAAAUAUGAUCAGGAAAAUAAAAAACCUUAAGAAAUAAUGAAGAAAAUGACUGUAAAGCACUCAGAAUUCCUUUGAGGUAACUAAACAAACAUCAUUACCAUAAGCACAUUUCACAACAUCUGUCUACAAAAAAUUCAGUUAUCUGCCAUUCUAACAUUUAAAAAGAUCUCUUGAGGACCAAAAUCAUCUUUUUCAAGAGAAAAAAAAAAUUGCCUAG